ensembl:lncRNA
UCGUGAUACUUACUCGCACUCUGCAAAGCAGGAGCCCCGGCGAGUGUGUGUGAUGGCGGGUCUAUAUGGAGCACGUCUAGUAAGGCGUUUAGUGUGCCAAAUUAUGAAUGAGCCUGCUGCCUCCUGAUAAUUUCUGACUUAAACUUCCAGGAAACUCCGUUCCACAGAGACACUGAAAGGCUUCCUACUUGAUUUUGUCCAUGUUUGAAGUUGGGCCCUGUGAACGGGGAAAACGGCGUAUUAUAAGACACCACAGUGUUCUCUUUCAUGUAGCGAGCUGAAGGGGAUGCUAUUGAGUGUUCGAGGGAGACCUUUGAUAUGUGAGAUGCUCUGUGCCUUAUGAAAAGAGCCAGCUUAUGAUUUGAGUCAGCGUGCAUGUGAGUGCUUUGAUGCCUGUUUUCUCGCCACACCAGUGUUUUUGUCAGAAACGUCCACCCUUGUUGAUGCACAAUGUCCUGUUUGUGAGCUCGUUUCAUAACGAGCGUCCCGACUGAACUUUGGAGGGCACGAUUAGAACGAAGGAAGGAAAGAUUUCGCCUGAUUGCAUGUUUCUUUUGUUAGCAGGGAUAUUUUUCUUGUCAAGUCGACGCCGGACAUUUCUUUUUCUUUUUUCCUCCCCAGAAUAUAUGAAGUCGCCUCUCGCUCUUUAGUCAUCAUUUAAGGUUUGGAAAGUAAAUAGCGAUGCUAUAAAAGCCUGCCUUUUGUGUAAUUAUGUUUUUAUGCUGCUCUUUUAUGUUUGCACAGAAAAGGCUAUGUGAUUACAGUUUUACGGCACAGUGCUUCCUGACUACGGCUCCAUGUUUAUUAAAAAUGAUUUAAACACUGUGUGCGCACAGGAUUAAUCGUAUGUGGAGAGUGAUGGUUUGUCUGUGGGUGCAGAGCUGCAGAGACGAGGGACUUUGCCCUUCUCAUCUAUCUUUACCAUCUGGUUUGUGCAGCAUUUGACUGAGGCGUUAAUCAUUACACCCUGGGGCCACUGCUGCUCCUACAACAGCUGGAAAAGGGAGAUGGACCUGUUGGUGUCCAUCUGUCCUUUUGUCUGUCAGUCCUCGGUGGACUGCUGCAUUAACUGUAUCCCCGCAGCUGUAGGUUCAUGACCUUGGCGUUCCUCGCAAAACUACCACAAAGUUUUUGAAAAAGCUGGAAGGAGCUUCCUGGUGCUCUGUCUCUCAGCCCACGACUUCCUGCAAGUCCGUCACCGACUCCAUCCCAGCAUUUAACUCACAGCACAUCCCAGAGCAGUGACCAGCUGCAGACGGUGGAUUUAGUUCGACCCUGGGACGAGAGAAUCGAGGCAGCUGAAUGACAUCGAGAGCGGCCGCAGCAGCAGCUUGACCAGACUGCCCUUAAGUAAACAGGGAGAGGGACGGACUGGAUCCAGCUGGUUGGCGCCGACUGAUUCUGAUUGCAAAUCGAUUUUGAUGUAAGAAAAAACGUAAUUGCAGAAUAUGAACUGAACUCUGGAUGUGAUCUUCCUGCUCGUUUCAGUCGUGCAGUUUGUGGUGGUCUCAGGGUCGUUUUCGAUGGUGGAUUUAUUAAGAUGCAUUUUUCUAUGGAUGAAUCGUCACUUUAUUAAAUACAGUGUAUAAAGUUCAGAUCUGUUUGGAUCCAUCGCUACUCUGCUGCUUUUCUGUUCUGUCUGUUCACACAGUAAGCAAAGUCUUUACCAGUGCUGUUUUUGGCUGUUACUUAAACUUUUUAAUUGUUACACACUUGCUCUGAUUUCUUUGAAAUUAAAUCCAUGUUUAAAAGAGCAUCAUUAAAUCUUUCAGUUUUCCUUCUUG